rnacentral:lncRNA from 1 species
CCACAACACAGCCCCCCAGUGGGAAGGUCUGUGCGCGGGCGGGGCCCUUCCUCUAGCGCCAUCUGAUGCGGGGUUUUCACCCCGGCACCAGCCCACACACCGGCCGAGCAGAGAAAGCGACUGCGUCCCUCCCGAGGUAUUGUCCGCUCCUUUGGGCCCGGAGCUCGCACGGGGUGCGCACCCACCUGCAGGCGCGGAGCUCGUACAGGGGGCUUGGGCGACCCUCACGGUUUUGUCCUAUAAAAG